rnacentral:lncRNA from 1 species
UUUGGCAGACAGUGCAUAUAGCCUUCAACAUUAUGCUUUCGGAUAGCAUGGACACGUUAUUUGGAGCGUGGCUAGAUGGAGUUGAUAUGAUUAUUGCUAGACACAUUCGUAUUGGAAUUUGUGCACUACAUUGGGAUAUAUGGAACUGUAGGAAUGAUGUGGUUUUUGACAGACAUACAAAUAUACAUUUUUUGCAGGAACUACACAAAGCGGCGUCAUUGAUCCGUACAUGGUCGUUACUCACUCCUGCGGAAACCAGGGAGCCUUUGGUUACUGGGUCUACCUGAUGGGAGGCGGUAGCGUGGGAUAUCUUCAAUCGGUUUGGAUGGCGGUCCAGUAAUAGGAUAGAUGGCUAGGCAUCUAGGCCUGUUUGCCGGUUGUGGCACUUUUUGAUUUACUUUUUCUUAUCUACUUCUAUGUCGGAGACUUUGUUGAACCGAGAUUCGUUUGCUUUUUAUAAUAAAGUGGUCGUAUGCAUCGUGCUGAUGCAGAGGCCGGAGGUAACACUCCUUUUCUAUAAAAAAAUGUUUGUUGACAAGAAACUACUCUAAAUCUCUUGUCAUGCAUAAUAUUAUUCGUAUACUCCAAGAUGAUCUAGAAUUAGAUAAGCCAUUCCUUGUGAUAUAUUUAAAUGUUUGGAGUGUGUAAAAUAAAAUAAUUAUCUACAUCUCCUUUCUCGUAGUUCAUAUUCAGUUGCUGCAAUGUCCUUUUUGUCGUUUUUAUAAUGUCAUGUACUUCCAUGAGUGGAGAGAGGAAGGUAUACAAUAUCGGCGAAACAUAUGCCUAUUUUAAGGAUGAUUGAAAUCUAUUUUUUGUCCUAUCACCUUUUCGUUAGGAUGAUUAAGGUAAAUUUCCGUCAUGCGAUGUUGUAGUAUGCAUUGGAGUGAGAUGUGCAUAGUGUCACAUUUUAUUCUGGGAAAGCCACUACAGGGUCCUCUUUGACGUCAUUAAAUAAUAAUUACAUUUUAUAUGAGAUACAUCAAAGAAAGCUAGGGGUUCAUAGGAUAGAUUAUAAUGAACUUUCAAAAUAAACAUAAAAUAUAGCUAUCUCUUGCAUAAUAUUGUUCACUUGUCUUCGUUAUUGGCUUCAAUUGACCUUUGCAUUUGACCUUCAAACUUAAGCCUGCUUAGAAAUUAUAGUGGUAGAACAAAAGAAGGGAUGUGAGAAGAGAAACAGCAUUGCUUGCUGAAAUACACGGGCAUUGUCAAAAUAGUUUUUGUCGACCCACUCUAUCCUAUUGUUUAAUGCAUAAAGUGGAUGACACCUGACUAGCUAACAUGACAUCGUUAGUUAGGUGCCGACUUAGUUAGGUGGGGUCUACCAUAAAGAAGGAGGUACUAGCUACUACCUUUAUCCUGCUUAAUUUAUUGGUCUCUUUUAUAUUUUCUACUAAGUUCUGAUCAUACACUUAACUAGAAAAAUGUUAGUGCAAGUUACCAAAAAAUAUAUCGUUAGAUUUGUAUUUGAGCUAUUAUUUUUUUGACAUG